rnacentral:lncRNA from 1 species
UGACAACAAACCUCAAACCAGCUCGAGAUAGCUCGGAUUUAUUCUGGACAUUCGAUUUAAAUGGCAUUUCCGACAUGUACAGAUCAUACGAAGAUACAAACUUGUGGUACGCUUUCACUGCAAAAAAGCAGCAAAUCUAUUCACAAACGUAUGUUGCAGGAACCUGGUAGACAACGUACCAGAGGGAGUCCAUCUCAAUUUCUUGCGAGCCGAGCGCAGCUUGCAUCGCUGGGCUCACGAAGACAUCCAAAGAAUCGACGACGCCGAGGCUUCCGCUUCAAACGAAGGCGCUGGUGUCGAUCUUCACGUUCUUGAAGACUCGGGUCACUGGGUAAGUCUGAAAACUUUCACAAUCUCCAAACCUUUCACUCGCUCUGUUACAUACUCUGACAGG